rnacentral:misc_RNA from 1 species
GUGAGUCAUCGAAUCUUUGAACGCACAUUGCGCCCAUUGGUAUUCCGAUGGGCAUGCCUGUUCGAGCGUCAUUAUCCUCCCUCAAACCUCGUGUUUGGUGUUGGACCGCGUUGGUCGAGCGACCAACUGGUCUCAAAGACAAUGACGGCGUCCGUGGGACCCUCGGUGCAACGAGCUUUUUAACGAGCACGCGUCGAGUUGCAAGGACCCUCCGGGCCGGUCUUGACCUCUAUCUUCUUAGGUUGACCUCGGAUCAGGUAGGAAUACCCGCUGAACUUAAGCAUAUCAAUAAGCGGAGGA